rnacentral:lncRNA from 1 species
UCUCAUCUCCCUUUUCCAAAAGAACAAAGGACUAACCGCCUAAAUUCUUUUGUGUCUCCCUUCUCCCUUGUCAAAGAAUUCAAAACGAUACAGUUUGAGAAUUCUUUUGAUUCUUCCCAUUCCCUUAUACAAAAGUGUUCAAAUGACUAACUGCCUGAGAAUUCUUUUGUAUCCCAAUUCACAAAGUAUCAAAGAUUUAACAGCCUGAGAUCUUUGUCUCAACACAUUGGAGGAUACAUCCUUUGUGGUACAAGUAGAGGGUACAUCUACUUGGGUUUGACUGAGAACAAGAGAGGGUACAUCUCUUGUGGAUCAGUUUUAGUGGAGGGUACAUCCACUAGGUUCAAAGAGAA